GGACACGUGGUAUCCUGUCUGAAUAUGGGGGGACCAUCCUCCAAGGCUAAAUACUCCUGACUGACCGAUAGUGAACCAGUACCGUGAGGGAAAGGCGAAAAGAACCCCGGCGAGGGGAGUGAAAAAGAACCUGAAACCGUGUACGUACAAGCAGUGGGAGCACAGGUUUACCUGUGUGACUGCGUACCUUUUGUAUAAUGGGUCAGCGACUUAUAUUCUGUAGCAAGGUUAACCGUAUAGGGGAGCCGYAGKGAAACCGAGUCUUAACCGGGCGUUAAGUUGCAGGGUAUAGACCCGAAACCCGGUGAUCUAGCCAUGGGCAGGUUGAAGGUUGGGUAACACUAACUGGAGGACCGAACCGACUAAUGUUGAAAAAUUAGCGGAUGACCUGUGGCUGGGGGUGAAAGGCCAAUCAAACCGGGAGAUAGCUGGUUCUCCCCGAAAGCUAUUUAGGUAGCGCCUCGUGAAUUCAUCUCCGGGGGUAGAGCACUGUUUCGGCUA
rnacentral:rRNA from 1 species